GUUCACGAGGCUGCAACGAGCCAGGCCGCUCUCCCGGAGGGGCCCCAGUCCCACCAUCUCACAGUCCAUGGCCACCACCUCACGGCUGCCAGCCAUGUUCCUUGGGAACCCUCAGAGAUGCUGGAGAAAGCGGUUUAAACCUACAUCCAGGCUGUUCUGAAACCCCCUGCAUCUCCCAAGGACGAGGACUGAUGACUAGAGGGGCCAGCAAGAUCAGGUCUCUGCUUCAGGUGGAAGAGGCAGUACUACCAAGCAUCUAGGUCCCUGCCUGGAUCCAGCUGAACUGUUUUCAAGUGUAUUGUGUGCUCUGAUGGAUGCCAGCCACUGAAGGCUCAGCACCCAGAGAGAAGCCCAGCUCCAGCCAGGGUUUCCCGGUGCUGAUGCUCUAGC